GUGACUGCGUACCUUUUGUAUAAUGGGUCAGCGACUUAUAUUCUGUAGCAAGGUUAACCGAAUAGGGGAGCCGGAGGGAAACCGAGUCUUAAUUGGGCGUUAAGUUGCAGGGUAUAGACCCGAAACCCGGUGAUCUAGCCAUGGGCAGGUUGAAGGUUGGGUAACACUAACUGGAGGACCGAACCGACUAAUGUUGAAAAAUUAGCGGAUGACCUGUGGCUGGGGGUGAAAGGCCAAUCAAACCGGGAGAUAGCUGGUUCUCCCCGAAAGCUAUUUAGGUAGCGCCUCGUGAAUUCAUCUCCGGGGGUAGAGCACUGUUUCGGCUAGGGGGCCAUCCCGGCUUACCAACCCGAUGCAAACUGCGAAUACCGGAGAAUGUUAUCACGGGAGACACACGGCGGGUGCUAACGUCCGUCGUGAAGAGGGAAACAACCCAGACCGCCAGCUAAGGUCCCAAAGUCAUGGUUAAGUGGGAAACGAUGUGGGAAGGCCCAGACAGCCAGGAUGUUGGCUUAGAAGCAGCCAUCAUUUAAAGAAAGCGUAAUAGCUCACUGGUCGAGUCGGCCUGCGCGGAAGAUGUAACGGGGCUAAACCAUGCACCGAAGCUGCGGCAGCGACACUCAGGUGUUGUUGGGUAGGGGAGCGUUCUGUAAGCCUGCGAAGGUGGCCUGUGAGGGUUGCUGGAGGUAUCAGAAGUGCGAAUGCUGACAUAAGUAACGAUAAAGCGGGUGAAAAGCCCGCUCGCCGGAAGACCAAGGGUUCCUGUCCAACGUUAAUCGGGGCAGGGUGAGUCGACCCCUAAGGCGAGGCCGAAAGGCGUAGUCGAUGGGAAACGGGUUAAUAUUCCCGUACUUGGUGUUACUGCGAAGGGGGGACGGAGAAGGCUAUGUUGGCCGGGCGACGGUUGUCCCGGUUUAAGCGUGUAGGUGUGUGUUCCAGGUAAAUCCGGUUCACUUUAACACUGAGGCGUGACGACGAGGCACUACGGUGCUGAAGCAACAAAUGCCCUGCUUCCAGGAAAAGCCUCUAAGCAUCAGGUAACAUCAAAUCGUACCCCAAACCGACACAGGUGGUCAGGUAGAGAAUACCAAGGCGCUUGAGAGAACUCGGGUGAAGGAACUAGGCAAAAUGGUGCCGUAACUUCGGGAGAAGGCACGCUGACACGUAGGUGAAGUGAUUUACUCAUGGAGCUGAAGUCAGUCGAAGAUACCAGCUGGCUGCAACUGUUUAUUAAAAACACAGCACUGUGCAAACACGAAAGUGGACGUAUACGGUGUGACGCCUGCCCGGUGCCGGAAGGUUAAUUGAUGGGGUCAGCGCAAGCGAAGCUCCUGAUCGAAGCCCCGGUAAACGGCGGCCGUAACUAUAACGGUCCUAAGGUAGCGAAAUUCCUUGUCGGGUAAGUUCCGACCUGCACGAAUGGCGUAAUGAUGGCCAGGCUGUCUCCACCCGAGACUCAGUGAAAUUGAACUCGCUGUGAAGAUGCAGUGUACCCGCGGCAAGACGGAAAGACCCCGUGAACCUUUACUAUAGCUUGACACUGAACAUUGAGCCUUGAUGUGUAGGAUAGGUGGGAGGCUUUGAAGUGUGGACGCCAGUCUGCAUGGAGCCGACCUUGAAAUACCACCCUUUAAUGUUUGAUGUUCUAACGUGGACCCGU
rnacentral:rRNA from 1 species